UCAGUUCGAAUCACAGGAACCUCGAUGG
rnacentral:piRNA from 1 species